rnacentral:rRNA from 1 species
GAAACCGUCCAGGGGUAAACCUGAGAAACCCAAAAGAUCGAAUGGAGAGAUUCAUCGACGACGAUACUGGCUCCCGAUGGCGCGCGAUGCCCCGGUGGUACCCUCGCGGUUCCACAGCGAGCGGCACACCGUCAUCGGCGAACGUUCCGGUGAUGUAGUCGUGCACUUCUCCCCUAGUAGAACGUCGCGACCCGUUGCGCGUCGGUCUACGGCCCGAGUGGGCGCCUGUGGCGUCGCAAUCUUGCGUACGCGGCAGACCCUCGGUCGCCCGGCCGGCUGCGCGACGGUACUCGUACGGUAUCGGGCCGCAACCAAUCCAUUCUCGAAUGUAUGUGCGUCUAGCCCGCCGCAAGCUCGGUCAGAUUACCCGGUGGUACGGACUUUGUGCCGGCGCCGGGCCUGGCCAGCUGUUAGCAGGCGGUGUCCUCGGACUGGCCAAGCUUCGAAUUACCGGUCGGCGACGCUACUGCUUUGGGUACUCUCAGGACCCGUCUUGAAACACGGACCAAGGAGUCUAACAUGUGCGCGAGUCAUUGGGAUUUACAAACCUAAAGGCGAAAUGAAAGUGAAAGUCGGCCUCCGCGUCGACCAAGGGAGGAUGGGCCGCGUAUCCAUGCGGCCUCGCACUCCCGGGGCGUCUCGCUCUCAUCGCGAGAAGAGGCGCACCUAGAGCGUACA